CUACGGGUCGCACCAGUGAGGAAUAUUGCACAAUGGGGGGAACCCUGAUGCAGCAACGCCGCGUGGAGGAUGACGCAUUUCGGUGUGUAAACUCCUUUUAUAUGUCAAGAAAAUGACGGUAGCAUAUGAAUAAGCACCGGCUAACUCCGUGCCAGCAGCCGCGGUAAUACGGAGGGUGCAAGCGUUACUCGGAAUCACUGGGCGUAAAGGACGCGUAGGCGGGUUGGAAAGUCAGGUGUGAAAUCCUACAGCUUAACUGUAGAACUGCACUUGAAACUUCUAAUCUAGAGUAUGGGAGGGGGAGAUGGAAUUAGUGGUGUAGGGGUAAAAUCCGUAGAUAUCACUAGGAAUACCUAAAGCGAAGGCGAUCUCCUGGAACAUUACUGACGCUAAGGCGUGAAAGCGUGGGGAGCAAACAGGAUUAGAUACCCUAGUAGUC
rnacentral:rRNA from 1 species